rnacentral:rRNA from 1 species
CCUAUUGGGAGGCGCAGGCGGGAAUAGUUCACAAUGGGCGAAAGCCUGAUGACGCGACGCCGCGUGAGCGAAGAAAGACCUUCGGGUUUGUAAAGCUCUGUCAGGAGGGAAGAAGGCUCUACGGGUUAAUAGCCCGUGGAAUUGACGGUACCUCCAGAGGAAGCCCCGGCUAAAUACGUGCCAGCAGCCGCGGUAAAUACGUAUGGGGCAAGCGUUGUCCGGAUUUACUGGGCGUAAAGGGCGCGUAGGCGGUUUGUUACAGUCCAAGGUGAAAUCCUCGGGCUCAACUCGAGAAUUGCCUUCGAUACUGGCAAACUAGAGUGGCGGAGAGGACAGCGGAACUCUUGGUUGUAACGGUGGAAUGUGUAGAUCUCACGAGGAACACCGGUGGCGAAGGCGGCUUCCUGGACGCCACACUGACGCUCAUGGCGCGAAAGCGUGUGUAGCAAACAGGAUUAGAUACCCUGGUAGUCCACGCCAUAAACGAUGGGUACUAGCUGUCGGGGGUAUCGACCCCUCCGGUGCCGCAGUUAACGCACUAAGUACCCCGCCUGGGGAUUAUGGUCGCAAGGCUGAAACUCAAAGAAAUUGACGGGGCCCCGCACAAGCGGUGGAGCAUGUGGUUUAAUUCGACGCAACGCGAAGAACCUUACCUGGGCUUGACAUGCUUGGGACAGCGCUGGAAACAGCGUCUCUCCUUCGGGAGCCCUUGCACAGGUGCUGCAUGGCUGUCGUCAGCUCGUGUCGUGAGAUGUUGGGUUAAGUCCCGCAACGAGCGCAACCCUCGUUACUAGUUGCCAUCAGUUCGGCUGGGCACUCUAGUGAGACUGCCGGUGAUAAACCGGAGGAAGGUGAGGAUGAUGUCAAGUCAUCAUGGCCCUUUACGCCCAGGGCUACGCACGUGCUACAAUGGUCGGCACAAAGGGUCGCUAAGCCGCGAGGUGGAGCUAAUCCCAAAAAGCCGGCAUCAGUUCGGAUUGGAGUCUGCAACCCGACUCCAUGAAGGCGGAAUCGCUAGUAAUCGCGGAUCAGCAUGCCGCGGUGAAUAUGUUCCCGGGGCUUGUACACACCGCCAGUCAUAUCACCCGAGUCGGGAUACCCGAAGUCCGUGACCCAACCAUU